GAUGUGCGUCUUUCAGGCGACGCUGCCAGUGUGACGUUGUUAGUCAACUAGCUGGCUUGAAAAGUUAGCCUAGCACUAAACUAGUCGCUCAUGCUAACUAGCUAGCUAGCUAAACUACUCCUCCUGCUGAAGAAGAAGAGGUCUGGAUGGAGAAAGAGGGUCUGUGGCUGAACAUUGUCGUGAAAGAGGAGAAGGAAGAGAAGGAUGUCUCAGUAAAACAAGAAGUAGAGGGUGGGUGUUACAGCGAAAGAAGAGGAAGACGCGUUCAGAGUUAAAGAGGAGGAGGAUGUUACAGUAAAAUAAGAGAAAAAGGAGGAUGCAGUUUUUGAAGUGAAUGAGGAGAAAGAGGGAGAGAGAACUGUUAUAUUGACAGAGGAGUCAGGAGAUCUGAUUACCGCCAGAGAGAGACCAGCCUCUCACUCUGACAGCAGAAAGAGCCCUUCAGAGGAACCAGACACGGAGAUGCCCAAACCAGCGAGACGACACCACUGCUCCUACUGUGGAAAUAGUUUUACCCGAUUACUACACCUGAAAGCACAUGAGAGAAUACAUACAGGAGAAAAGCCCUUCCACUGUUCCCAGUGUGAAAAGAGUUUUAGGUGGUUAACGAGUCUGAAAAAGCAUGAGAAGGGACACACACAAGAAAAGCUCUACCAAUGCUCCUUGUGUGGAAAGAGUUUUACCAAGUUAGGGGGUCUGACAAGGCAUGAGAGGACACACACAGGAGGGGAUAAGACGUACCACUGCUCCCAGUGUGGCAAGAGAUUUAACCGGUUAAGGCAUCUGAAUAAGCAUGAAAGAAUACAUACACAGGAGGAGAAGACAUACCACUGCUCUCAUUGUGGAAAGACAUUUUCGCAGUCAGAGGACCUGGAAUCACAUGAGAGAAUAGAGAGACUGUGUUCUGACUUGUGUUUUUGACUGAGAAUUAUUGUUUUUGUUUGUCACAUUAAAUCAUAUUGUUUAAAUUAAAUCAGACAUGAAAAUCUGACCAAAACAACAGGCCUGUUUCUGUUGUUUAUUCAUCUUGAUUAAAUAUUUUAACAUGU